AUUGAACGCUGGCGGCAGGCCUAACACAUGCAAGUCGAACGAGUGGCGGACGGGAGAGAAAUGCUUGGGAAUCCAGGUUAUGGAGGGGGAUAAAUAGGGGACACUGUAGCUAAUACCGUGUACAAUAGGAUGAGCCGAAGUGGGAUUAGCUUGUAGGUGGGGUAGAGGCGGACCUAGGCGACGAUCUCUAGCUGGUCUGAGAGGAUGAUCAGCCACACUGGGACUGAGACACGGCCCAGACUCCUACGGGAGGCAGCAGUGGGGAAUAUUGCACAAUGGGCGCAAGCCUGAUGCAGCCAUGCCGCGUGUAUGAAGAAGGCCUUAGGGUUGUAAAGUACUUUCAGCUGGGAGGCGUUACCCACAGAAGAAGCACCGGCUAACUCCGUGCCAGCAGCCGCGGUAAUAC
rnacentral:rRNA from 1 species